rnacentral:rRNA from 1 species
GACGAACCGUGCGAACGUUGUUCGGAUUCACUGGGCUUAAAGGGCGCGUAGGCGGCUUGGCAAGCCCGGGGUGAAAGCCCCCAGCCCAACUGGGGAAGUGCCCCGGGGACUGCCAAGCUCGAGCGGGAUAGGGGCAGCUGGAACUUUCGGUGGAGCGGUGAAAUGCGUAGAUAUCGGAAGGAACGCCGGUGGCGAAAGCGAGCUGCUGGAUCCCCCCUGACGCUGAGGCGCGAAAGCCAGGGGAGCGAACGGG